rnacentral:rRNA from 1 species
GUGAGGAAUUUUCAGCAAUGGGCGAAAGCCUGACGGAGCAAUGCCGCGUGAAGGAUGAAGGCCUAUGGGUUGUAAACUUCUUUUCUCAGAAAAGAAUUAUGACGGUAUCUGAGGAAUAAGCAUCGGCUAACUCUGUGCCAGCAGCCGCGGUAAGACAGAGGAUGCAAGCGUUAUCCGGAAUGAUUGGGCGUAAAGCGUCUGUAGGUUGUUUAAAAAGUAUUCUGUCAAAGAUUAGGGCUUAACCCUAGAUAGGCAGAAUAAACUUUUAAGCUAGAGUUUGGUAGAGGCAGAGGGAAUUCCCGGUGGAGCGGUGAAAUGCGUAGAUAUCGGGAGGAACACCAAAGGCGAAGGCACUCUGCUGGGCCAAUACUAACACUGAGAGACGAAAGCGAGGGGAGCAAAUGGGAUUAGAUACCCUUGUAGUCC